AGAGUUUGAUCAUGGCUCAGGAUGAACGCUAGCGGCAGGCCUAACACAUGCAAGUCGAGGGGUAACAGGGAGUGCUUGCACUCUGCUGACGACCGGCGCACGGGUGCGUAACGCGUAUACAAUCUACCUUUUACUGGGGGAUAGCCUUUAGAAAUGAAGAUUAACACCCCAUGGUCUAUAGAAACGGCAUCGUUUUUAUAGUAAAGGUUACGGUAAAAGAUGAGUAUGCGUCCUAUUAGUUAGUUGGUAAGGUAACGGCUUACCAAGACAACGAUAGGUAGGGGCCCUGAGAGGGGGACCCCCCACACUGGUACUGAGACACGGACCAGACUCCUACGGGAGGCAGCAGUGAGGAAUAUUGGACAAUGGAGGCAACUCUGAUCCAGCCAUGCCGCGCGCAGGAAGACUGCCCUAUGGGUUGUAAACUGCUUUUAUACAGGAAGAAACACUCCCACGCGUUGGGAAUUUGACGGUACUGUAAGAAUAAGGAUCGGCUAACUCCGUGCCAGCAGCCGCGGUAAUACGGAGGAUCCAAGCGUUAUCCGGAAUCAUUGGGUUUAAAGGGUCCGUAGGCGGGCAAUUAAGUCAGAGGUGAAAGUUUGCGGCUCAACCGU
rnacentral:rRNA from 1 species